rnacentral:lncRNA from 1 species
GUCGGCCUUCCCAACAUGGCGCAGUCUAUUAACAUCACGGAGCUGAAUCUGCCGCAGCUAGAAAUGCUCAAGAACCAGCUGGACCAGGAAGUGGAGUUCUUGUCCACGUCCAUUGCUCAGCUCAAAGUGGUACAGACCAAGUAUGUGGAAGCCAAGGACUGUCUGAACGUGCUGAACAAGAGCAACGAGGGGAAAGAAUUACUCGUCCCACUGACGAAUGUAUGUCCCUGGGAAGCUGCAUGAUGUGGAACACGUGCUCAUCGAUGUGGGAACUGGGUACUAUGUAGAGAAGACAGCUGAGGAUGCCAAGGACUUCUUCAAGAGGAAGAUAGAUUUUCUAACCAAGCAGAUGGAGAAAAUCCAACCAGCUCUUCAGGAGAAGCACGCCAUGAAACAGGCCGUCAUGGAAAUGAUGAGUCAGAAGAUUCAGCAGCUCACAGCCCUGGGGGCAGCUCAGGCUACUGCUAAGGCCUGAGAGUUUUUGCAGAAAUGGGGCAGAGGGACACCCUUUGGGCGUGGCUUCCUGGUGAUGGGAAGGGUCUUGUGUUUUAAUGCCAAUAAAUGUGCCAGCUGGGC